rnacentral:rRNA from 1 species
UACGAAGGGGACUAGCGUUGUUCGGAAUCACUGGGCGUAAAGCGCACGUAGGCGGAUUUGUAAGUCAGGGGUGAAAUCCCGGGGCUCAACCUCGGAACUGCCUUUGAUACUGCGAAUCUUGAGUCCGAUAGAGGUGGGUGGAAUUCCUAGUGUAGAGGUGAAAUUCGAUAGAUAUUAGGAAGAACACCAGUGGCGAAGGCGGGCCCACUGG